AGGCUAGAACAAUUUAUGCAGCAGGUUAGGAGUAUUACGGCUAUGGGUUACGGUUAGUGAAAAUGCUCUCCUAACCAGGGUCGGACGACCCCACACACCCCCUCUUACUUACUGCAUUUCAACCCAUUUUGCCAUGGUGGAGAGAGCAUUUCAACCCAUUUUGCCAUGGUGUGGAGAGAAUUUCAACCCAUUUUGCCAUGGUGGAGAGAGCAUUUCAACCCAUUUUGCCAUGGUGUGGAGAGAAUUUCAACCCAUUUUGCCAUGGUGUGGAGAGCAUUUCAACCCAUUUUGCCAUGGUGUGGAGAGCAUUUCAACCCAUUUUGCCAUGGUGUGGAGAGAAUUUCAACCCAUUUUGCCAUGGUGUGGAGAGAAUUUCAACCCAUUUUGCCAUGGUGUGGAGAGAAUUUCAACCCAUGGUGCAGAGAUACAUAUUUACAGUUUCAGAAUGUUAUUCGACAUGUUGUCAUGAAGCUGACAAAAAAUGGUGUUGUUUUCGAGCUAAUUUCCCACUAUUCAACACAUUUUUCUAUCAUAUGCUAUCUGGGGCCAUUCUAUAGUCCAGCCCUGCUCCUAACCUGCUCCCAAAAUCACUUCUUAUUGAAGUGGUGUGAAAAGAAUGUCCCGAGUGCCACAGGAGGGAGACCGCGACCUACAGGUACUGGGAGGACCUGAGCCCUAGGACUAUGCCCCAGGACUACCUGACAUGAUGACUCCUUGCUGUCCCCAGUCCACCUGACCGUGCUGCUGCUCCAGUUUCAACUGUUCUGCCUUAUUAUUAUUCGACCAUGCUGGUCAUUUAUGAACAUUUGAACAUCUUGGUCAUGUGCUGUUAUAAUCUCCACCCGGCACAGCCAGAAGAGGACUGGCCACCCCACAUAGCCUGGUUCCUCUCUAGGUUUCUUCCUAGGUUUUGGCCUUUCUAGGCAGUUUUUCCUCCUAGCCACCGUGCUUCUACACCUGCAUUGCUUGCUGUUUGGGGUUUUAGGCUGGGUUUCUAUACAGCACUUUGAGAUAUCAGCUGAUGUACGAAGGGCUAUAUAAAUACAUUUGAUUUAAUUUGAUGAGGUAGUCAUUCAUUUAAAAAUGUUUUGUAAUUCUGUGAAUCUUACCCAGUUGAUUAACUCACCCACUCGCCCAAAUCUUAAAUGCCCAGAUAAAUCUACCCUGAUUGAUUUGAUAUUGACAAAUGUUCCACAUAAAUAUUCUGCGGUUGGUGUUUUUUGUAAUGAUUUAAGUGACCAUUGUGCUGUUGUUGCUGUUAGAAAGGUUCCAAAGACAAAGCCACAUUUUAUUCGUAAGAGAAAUUUGAAGUGUUUAAUUAGCAGGCUUUCUUUCAUGAUUUGUUUUAUUUUGACUGGAGCAAGAUUGAGUUUAUCCCUGAUGUGGAAACUGCCUGGAAAUUCUUUAUGUUUUUUCCCAAAUAGUAAACAAACAUGCCCCAUUCCACAGGUUCAGGGUUAAAGGGCGGGAUAAUCCAUGGUUAUCUUCUGAGCUGUCUUGUAUUAUUCAAGGCCGUAAUCUAGCCUGGGCUAAAGCAAGGAAAUCAUGUUCUGAUGCUGAUUGGCUUAUUUUUAGGCAGUUACGAAACAAGUGUUCUUUUCUUCUCAGGAAGGCCAAGUCUGAAUAUUUUAUGUCUGUUACCACUGAUAACCUGAAUGACCCUAGAACGUUUUGGGAGCCUAUUAAGUCUAUGUCUGGUAACAGUAAUGUUAAUGAAUUACCGUCAUGUGUUUUGAAGGACUCUGUUGCUAUACAUGACAACUGAAAUAAAUGCUGAAUUGUA